AUGUACAAAAGUAAACAUUUGACCACCUACUUUUGCUCCUGGCCCCACCUUCUGCUGGUUGGCAGCUCCCUGAAGGUGGCCCAGAAGGCAAUGUGGCCCUUGCCCCCCAUUCCAACCCAGAACAUAGUCUUUCAAGGAUAUUUUCACUGGCAUGGUAGUAAACAGUGUCCCCAAAUUUCAGGCACCUACAAUCUAGAGCAGGGUUUCUGAAACGCGGUUCUCCAGCUGUUUUUUGGACUACAACUAGCAAGACCAGCAGUCAGGGAUGAUGGUAAUUGUAGUCUGAAAACAGCUGGAGACCCAACACUGAUCUAGAGGUCCCCCACUACACAAAAAGCGCCCAAAAUAUUCCCCAAAUUUCCAACAGAAUCUCUGUACAUGGGGCAUUUUUCACCCUAGCCAAUGUAACAUGCUGAGGUAAAAACGGUUUCCAGCUAAACUGAUUGAGAGAUUCAGAUUUAAAAGCCUGGGAUAAAAACAAGUCCCAAGAAAUAUGAAGUGUUGUUAGUUUGCCUGCUGCCUUAUUGCUUGCUCUGAGGUGAGAUUUGAAAGAAGGCAGAGCAGUAGCAGCCAACAGGGAAUCCAAGCAUAAAGGGCAGCCAAGGAGAAUAGGUGGAGUCAUGAAAAUGGACAGGAAAUUUUGGGAGGAUAAAGGCAGGGACUGACACAACCACAGCCUGUACUGGUGUGCUGAAAACUUUUGAAAGGCUUUUGUCCUACUUCAUGAGAACGGAUGACCUGCAAAUAAAACUAUGGGAUGAAAAUGGCUUCUUACAAAAAGACACACUUUUAGAAGAUUAUGGAAGACUAUGAUACACAUAAAAAGAAAGAACCAGAACAGCUUACUUGAGUCUUCCGUCGAAAUACGCUGGUGUUCCCAGGACAAUUGUUUUUAUGAAGAAAGGCUGAUUUGUGUG